rnacentral:rRNA from 1 species
UGAGGAAUAUUGGUCAAUGGGCGCAAGCCUGAACCAGCCAUCCCGCGUGCAGGAAGACGGCCCUAUGGGUUGUAAACUGCUUUUCCAGGGGGAGAAUUUUUCUGUCGUGACAGGAAUUGACGGUACCCUGGGAAUAAGCAUCGGCUAACUCCGUGCCAGCAGCCGCGGUAAUACGGAGGAUGCGAGCGUUAUCCGGAUUUAUUGGGUUUAAAGGGUGCGUAGGCGGAUUGAUAAGUCAGUGGUGAAAACCUGCAGCUUAACUGUAGACUUGCCGUUGAUACUGUCAGUCUUGAGUGUGGUCAAGGUAGGCGGAAUGUGUAAUGUAGCGGUGAAAUGCUUAGAUAUUACACAGAACACCGAUUGCGAAGGCAGCUCACUGGGCCAUUACUGACGCUGAUGCACGAAAGCGUGGG